GUGCUCCUCUCACUGUCAUUGUGAUUGUCAUUAUUACUGCUGUUGUGACAGUCAUUUUUAACUGCCUUCCCCAUCCUGCAGGCGGGAGAUCAGAUAGAACGAAUGUUCCACAUCCUUCUUGACCCCCAAGGUUUGCGGGGUGGGCAACAGGGCGUGUGGGGUCCUGGGGCCACACUAGGAGGAGAAGGGACUGAAAGGAGGGGGUCUGGUCAGGUGGGUAAUCUGAGCCCCUGCCCAGCUCUGCAUGCCUUGAUGCCCCCAGUCCUGGAGCCCACGUGACACGAAGGUUGUGCCCCUGCAGGUCAGACCCAGACAGAGCUCUUGCCAAGACGGGACGUGCCCGACACGCAGGUGGAAGUGUUUGUCAGCGUCCAAGGUGACAUCCUUGCCGAGACCAUCCUGGGCAGCCUGACUCCCACGGAAGUACAGCAGCUGCUGAGGGUCCCCAGCGGCUGUCCUGAACAGACACUGAGCAAACUGGCGCCCGUGGUCCUCCUGAUGGGCUACCUGGACACCACGGGACAGUGUUGCUCCGGGACCAGGUGAUGAAGAACAUCGUCACAGGUUUCAUCCAGAUGCUCAGCCACCAGAGUAGAGACGGCACCUUCCAUGUCAUCAAGAGGAGGCCCACAGCUCCUGGCCCUGCUCGCCUGUGCCCCGUCACAGUGUGGGCAGCCUGGACACUCCUGGGACCCAUCUCUCCCUCACCCACCCCACAAACGUGACCAUUCCUGGCCUUCCUCCCCCAGGACCUGACUCCUCCCUGUCACCCAGGGAACACACCCAUCCCCCCAGCCUUCCUCCCUACCAGCCUCCAGAAGUGGCUUUUGAACACAGUGUGGUGGGGCGCUCUCCUCCUCCAACACCUUCUAUGGCUCACAGCUGCCCUCCUCUUCAUCCCCUCUAAAGCCUCUCUUCCCAUGAUCCCUGCUCACCAUUCACUCUUUGUUUUGGGGGGGGCAGUUACUGGGGAUUGAACUCAGGGGCACUCAACCACUGAGCCACAUCCCCAGCCCUAUUUUGUAUUUUAUUAAGAGACAGGGUCUCACUGAGUUGCUUAGGGCUUUGAACUUGCCAUCCUCCUGCCCCAGCCUCCUGAGCCGCUGGGAUGUCAGAGAUACGCCCCUGCACCCGGCCACUUGGCCAUCUCUAUAAACACCAGCUGUUGGAUUUAGGGCCCCCAUUAAUCCGGUGUGAGCUCUCCGAGACUGCCUGCAUCCACAAAGACCCUAUUUUCAAAUAAGAUCACGUUCUGAGGCUCCAGAUGAACAUGAAACUUAGGGGACACUGUUCUGCUCAGGGGCCAGGGUGGCAGCUGUGGCUGCAGAGGGGUUGAAUGCUGUGGGGCAUUUCCUAGCAAUGGGAAGGCUUCACCCCUCUGGCCCUCAGUGUCCUCCUCAGAAAAAAUGGGGCUACCACGAGGAUACUCUGAUGUAACUCUGAGAGCCUCGCCUCCUGGGCUGUUGACGUCCCUCAGGGGGACAGACCCCGCCCGGGCGACCCUGAGAAGGCUCCUCCUCCCUCGCCCCGCCUCACCUCCAACAGCAUCCAGGCCAGAGCUGGGCACCCAGGAGACCCCCAGAGUCUGGAAGGAAGGCUGGGGAGGGUGUCCCCAAGACGCUGAGGGAGUUGCACUGUCCUUCUGCCUCCACAGGGAGGCUACAAAGGCUCCGAAGCAGAUGUAUCCCUCAGGGCUCUUGUCCUGGUCGCCCUGAGGGAGGGGAAGGAGUUGUG